UACAGAGGGCGCGAGCGUUGUCCGGAAUUACUGGGCGUACAGGGAGCGUAGGCGGUUGGGUAAGCCCUUCGUGAAAUCUCCGGGCCUAACCCGGAAAGUGCGGAGGGGACUGCUCGGCUAGAGGAUGGGAGAGGAGCGCGGAAUUCCCGGUGUAGCGGUGAAAUGCGUAGAGAUCGGGAGGAAGGCCGGUGGCGAAGGCGGCGCUCUGGAACAUUUCUGACGCUGAGGCUCGAAAGCGUGGGGAGCAAACAGG
rnacentral:rRNA from 1 species